rnacentral:lncRNA from 1 species
GAGAAAAGCUGAAUCACUCAGCCCAGAGGAAGUCUGAGGAGGCAUAAAGAAGUCUUGGAAAUCCCCUGAAAAAAAGAAUCAGCUGUAGGCUAACCCAAGAAGAAUAAAGCAUCGGCUUCCCUGACAUGCUGCUCCCCACAAAACAGAGUGCCAAUAUGAUUCCAAGGUUCUUAGCACACUGUAUAUUACCUCACUCCUCCUACAG